GAUGAAGAACGUAGCGAAAUGCGAUAAGUAAUGUGAAUUGCAGAAUUCAGUGAAUCAUCGAAUCUUUGAACGUACAUUGCGCCCGCCAGUAUUCUGGCGGGCAUGCCUGUUCGAGCGUCAUUUCAACCAUCAAGCCCCCGGCUUGUGUUGGGGACCUGCGGCUGCCGCAGGCCCUGAAAACCAGUGGCGGGCUCGCUAGUCACUCCGAGCGUAGUAAUACAUCUCGCUCAGGGCGUGCUGCGGGUUCCGGCCGUUAAAAGCCUUAUUUACCCAAGGUUGACCUCGGAUCAGGUAGGAAGACCCGCUGAACUUAAGCAUAUCAAUAAGCGGAGGA
rnacentral:misc_RNA from 1 species